CUUGCUCUUCUGAUCAGUGGCGAACGGGUGAGUAACACGUGAGCAAUCUGCCCCUGACUCUGGGAUAAGCGCUGGAAACGGCGUCUAAUACUGGAUAUGAGCUGCGACCGCAUGGUCAGCAGUUGGAAAGAAUUUCGGUCAGGGAUGAGCUCGCGGCCUAUCAGCUUGUUGGUGAGGUAAUGGCUCACCAAGGCGUCGACGGGUAGCCGGCCUGAGAGGGUGACCGGCCACACUGGGACUGAGACACGGCCCAGACUCCUACGGGAGGCAGCAGUGGGGAAUAUUGCACAAUGGGCGCAAGCCUGAUGCAGCAACGCCGCGUGAGGGACGACGGCCUUCGGGUUGUAAACCUCUUUUAGCAGGGAAGAAGCGGAAGUGACGGUACCUGCAGAAAAAGCACCGGCUAACUACGUGCCAGCAGCCGCGGUAAUACGUAGGGUGCAAGCGUUAUCCGGAAUUAUUGGGCGUAAAGAGCUCGUAGGCGGUUUGUCGCGUCUGCUGUGAAAUCCCGAGGCUCAACCUCGGGUCUGCAGUGGGUACGGGCAGACUAGAGUGCGGUAGGGGAGAUUGGAAUUCCUGGUGUAGCGGUGGAAUGCGCAGAUAUCAGGAGGAACACCGAUGGCGAAGGCAGAUCUCUGGGCCGUAACUGACGCUGAGGAGCGAAAGGGUGGGGAGCAAACAGGCUUAGAUACCCUGGUAGUCCACCCCGUAAACGUUGGGAACUAGUUGUGGGGUCCAUUCCACGGAUUCCGUGACGCAGCUAACGCAUUAAGUUCCCCGCCUGGGGAGUACGGCCGCAAGGCUAAAACUCAAAGGAAUUGACGGGGACCCGCACAAGCGGCGGAGCAUGCGGAUUAAUUCGAUGCAACGCGAAGAACCUUACCAAGGCUUGACAUAUACGAGAACGCUGCAGAAAUGUGGAACUCUUUGGACACUCGUAAACAGGUGGUGCAUGGUUGUCGUCAGCUCGUGUCGUGAGAUGUUGGGUUAAGUCCCGCAACGAGCGCAACCCUCGUUCUAUGUUGCCAGCACGUAAUGGUGGGAACUCAUGGGAUACUGCCGGGGUCAACUCGGAGGAAGGUGGGGAUGACGUCAAAUCAUCAUGCCCCUUAUGUCUUGGGCUUCACGCAUGCUACAAUGGCCGGUACAAAGGGCUGCAAUACCGUAAGGUGGAGCGAAUCCCAAAAAGCCGGUCCCAGUUCGGAUUGAGGUCUGCAACUCGACCUCAUGAAGUCGGAGUCGCUAGUAAUCGCAGAUCAGCAACGCUGCGGUGAAUACGUUCCCGGGUCUUGUACACACCGCCCGUCAAGUCAUGAAAGUCGGUAACACCUGA
rnacentral:rRNA from 1 species